UACGGGGGGGGCAAGCGUUGUUCGGAAUUACUGGGCGUAAAGGGCUCGUAGGCGGCCAACUAAGUCUGACGUGAAAUCCCCGGGCUUAACCUGGGAAUGGCGUUGGGGACUGCACGGCUAGAGUGUGUCAGAGGGAGGUAGAAUUCCACGUGUAGCAGUGAAAUGCGUAGAUAUGUGGAGGAAUACCGAUGGCGAAGGCGGCAUCCUGGACCGGCAUUGACACUGAGGCGCGAAAGCCAGGGGAGCAAACGGG
rnacentral:rRNA from 1 species